rnacentral:rRNA from 1 species
AACGAACGCUGGCGGCAUGCCUAACACAUGCAAGUCGAACGAGACCUUCGGGUCUAGUGGCGCACGGGUGCGUAACGCGUGGGAACCUGCCCUUAGGUUCGGAAUAACUCCCCGAAAGGGGUGCUAAUACCGGAUAAUGUCUUCGGACCAAAGAUUUAUCGCCUUUGGAUGGGCCCGCGUUGGAUUAGCUAGUUGGUAGGGUAAAAGCCUACCAAGGCGACGAUCCAUAGCUGGUCUGAGAGGAUGAUCAGCCACACUGGGACUGAGACACGGCCCAGACUCCUACGGGAGGCAGCAGUGGGGAAUAUUGGACAAUGGGCGAAAGCCUGAUCCAGCAAUGCCGCGUGAGUGGUGAAGGCCUUAGGGUUGUAAAGCUCUUUUACCCGGGAUGAUAAUGACGGUACCGGGAGAAUAAGCUCCGGCUAACUCCGUG